CCUACGGGGGGCUGCAGUCGAGAAUCAUUCACAAUGGGGGAAACCCUGAUGGUGCGACGCCGCGUGGGGGAAUGAAGGUCUUCGGAUUGUAAACCCCUGUCAUGUGGGAGCAAAUUAAAAAGAUAGUACCACAAGAGGAAGAGACGGCUAACUCUGUGCCAGCAGCCGCGGUAAUACAGAGGUCUCAAGCGUUGUUCGGAAUCACUGGGCGUAAAGGGUGCGUAGGCUGUUUCGUAAGUCGUGUGUGAAAGGCGCGGGCUCAACCCGCGGACGGCACAUGAUACUGCGAGACUAGAGUAAUGGAGGGGGAGGCGGAAUUCUCGGUGUAGCAGUGAAAUGCGUAGAUAUCGAGAGGAACACUCGUGGCGAAGGCGGGUUCCUGGACAUUAACUGACGCUGAGGCACGAAGGCCAGGGGAGCGAAAGGGAUUAGAUACCCCAGUAGUC
rnacentral:rRNA from 1 species